CCCCUGUCAGGAUCAUACCUGGAGAGUUUCCAGUACUCUACCAGUCUCGGCUACGGGAGGGAGCGUCAAGCAGAGGCCUGUCCCUUCCAUUCCUGGCUUAGGCAGUGGCUAGAGAGUGGAAGGCAAUCUGCUACCAGU